rnacentral:rRNA from 1 species
CCUACGGGAGGCAGCAGUGGGGAAUAUUGCACAAUGGGGGAAACCCUGAUGCAGCGACGCCGCGUGAGUGAAGAAGGAUUUCGGUAUGUAAAGCUCUAUCAGCAGGGAAGAAAAUGACGGUACCUGAGUAAGAAGCCCCGGCUAACUACGUGCCAGCAGCCGCGGUAAUACGUAGGGGGCAAGCGUUAUCCGGAUUUACUGGGUGUAAAGGGAGCGUAGACGGCUGCACAAGUCUGGAGUGAACUGCCGGGGCUUAACCCCGGAACUGCUGGGGAAACUGUGCAGCUAGAGUGCAGGAGAGGUAAGUGGAAUUCCUAGUGUAGCGGUGAAAUGCGUAGAUAUUAGGAGGAACACCAGUGGCGAAGGCGGCUUACUGGACUGUAACUGACGUUGAGGCUCGAAAGCGUGGGGAGCAAACAGGAUUAGAUACCCCUGUAGUC